AGAGUUUGAUCCUGGCUCAGGAUGAACGCUGGCGGCGUGCUUAACACAUGCAAGUCGAACGGACCAGAUUCGUCUGGUCAGUGGCAGACGGGUGCGUAACACGUAGGUGACCUGCCCUCGAGUGGGGAAUAACUCGACUAACGUCGAGCUAAUACCGCAUAAGUUCGCUGAAUCGCUUCAGUGAGUAAAGCAGCAAUGCGCUUGGGGAUGGGCCUGCGGCGGAUUAGGUAGUUGGUGGGGUAACGGCCUACCAAGCCGAUGAUCCGUAGGGGGCGUGAGAGCGUGGCCCCCCACAUUGGCACUGAGACACGGGCCAAACUCCUACGGGAGGCAGCAGUGAGGAAUAUUGCACAAUGGGCGAAAGCCUGAUGCAGCAACGCCGCGUGAGGGACGAAGGCCUUCGGGUCGUAAACCUCUUUUCUGAGGGACGAGUAAGGACGGUACCUCAGGAAUAAGUCUCGGCUAACUACGUGCCAGCAGCCGCGGUAAAACGUAGGAGGCGAGCGUUAUCCGGAUUUACUGGGCGUAAAGCGUACGCAGGUGGCCAUGCAAGUCGGACAUGAAAGCUCCUGGCUUAACUGGGAGAGGUGGUUCGAAACUGCAUAGCUUGAGGUUGGGAGAGGGACGUGGAAUUCCCGGUGUAGUGGUGGAAUGCGUAGAUAUCGGGAGGAACACCAGUGGCGCAAGCGGCGUCCUGGCCCACACCUGACGCUGAGGUACGAAAGCGUGGGUAGCAAACAGGAUUAGAUACCCUGGUAGUCCACGCUGUAAACGAUGUCAACUAGGUGUCGGCAGUUUUACACUGGCGGUGCCGAAGCUAACGCGUUAAGUUGACCGCCUGGGGACUACGGCCGCAAGGCUAAAACUCAAAGGAAUUGACGG
rnacentral:rRNA from 1 species